ensembl:lncRNA
GGUUAGCGGUCAGCGUGUUUACAUUCAAGACAGGUCUGUGAAAUAUUGUCUGACAUGAAAACGGUCGUUGAGGCAAAAAAGGAAGGGGGACCCUGUGAUCACAUGCCUCUGGCUUCUCAACUGGGGAUCGGGCAGGAGGCCCUGGAGGAACCAAUCCGCGCCACAGCAUUAGACGGUCAUCUCCUCUGCAGGGUUACCCAUCAAUCUCCCCCUCUGGCUAUGACGGUAUCAGGUAAUCACAAUGAGACACUAACCUUCCAUCUCAUCCAUUCACCACAGCAACCGGUCAUUUUGGGCUAUCCAUGGCUUAGAAGGCACAAUCCACACAUUGACUGGGCUUCGGGAACUGUAUUACAGUGGAGUGCCCAUUGCCAUGCUGUGUGCCUGAGACCUGUCUCAUCGCCGGCCCCAGUCUGCAGGCCGCCUCGGAAGUGACGGAUAUCUCUUGUGUUCCCAAGGAAAACCAUGAUCAUAAGUUUUUUUUUAGCAAAACCCGGGCCACAUCGUUACCACCUCAUCGUCCGUGUGACUGUGCUAUUCACCUCCUUCCAGGAACAGCUCCUCCCCGAGGUAGACUCUUUUCACUGUUUGCUACAGAGACUAAAGCCAUGGAGAAAUACAUCAAUGACUCUCUGGCUGCGGGUUUCAUUAGGCCCUCCUCAUCGCCUGCGGGAGCUGGGUUUUUCUUUGUCAGUAAGAAAGACAAGACCCUGCGCCCCUGCAUCGACUACAGGGGACUCAAUAACAUUACGAUCAAGAACAGGAACAGGGGUCGUCGUGGCGCAGGGAGUAGGGCGGGUGUCCCUGAGCAAGACACCUAACCCCUGUGGGGUCACAAGUCACGCCUGGCUUGCCAUCCCGGGAUCCGACGCACUCUAGCAAUGCUCAGACAAUGCUUCUGGUGGCCUUCCAUGGAGGAGGACGCAAAAGAGUUUGUCGGUGCUUGUCUGGUCUGCUCCCAGCAUUUGAGCACAGGCCAACCUCCGUCCGGACUUCUUCACCCUGUGCCUAUUCCUAAACGCCCUUGGUCCCACAUCGCCUUGGAUUUUGUAACUGGCCUGUCCCCCUCUGACGGUAACACAGUCAUCCUUACGGUCAUUGAUCGAUUUUCAAAGUCUGCUCUAUUAAUACCACUACCAAAGCUACCCACUGCCAAGAAGACCACUAAAGUUUUGUUGCAAAUGUUUUCCGGCUGCAUGGUUUACCCAUUGACAUGGUCUCUGACCAGGGACCACAAAUUUGGUUAUCGUUUUUGGUCAGAGUUUUGUAGAUUGCUAGGAGCCAUGGCCAGUCUCUCUUCCGGUUACGAUCCCCAAUCUAAUGGGCAGGCUGAGCGGAUGAACCAAGAGAUGGAGACAAUGUUACUAUGUCUCAUCUCGCAACCCCUCCUUCUAGUCAGAGCAGCUCCUGUGGUAUGCCCACAACACCCUACCCAGUUCAGCUACCGGGCUCUCACCGUUCCAGCGUGCCAGAGGG